GACGAACGCUGGCGGCGUGCUUAACACAUGCAAGUCGAACGGAAAGGCCCUGCUUUUGUGGGGUGCUCGAGUGGCGAACGGGUGAGUAACACGUGAGUAACCUGCCCUUGACUUUGGGAUAACUUCAGGAAACUGGGGCUAAUACCGGAUAGGAGCUCCUGCUGCAUGGUGGGGGUUGGAAAGUUUCGGCGGUUGGGGAUGGACUCGCGGCUUAUCAGCUUGUUGGUGGGGUAGUGGCUUACCAAGGCUUUGACGGGUAGCCGGCCUGAGAGGGUGACCGGCCACAUUGGGACUGAGAUACGGCCCAGACUCCUACGGGAGGCAGCAGUGGGGCAUAUUGCACAAUGGGCGGAAGCCUGAUGCAGCAACGCCGCGUGCGGGAUGACGGCCUUCGGGUUGUAACCCGCUUUCGCCUGUGACGAAGCGUGAGUGACGGUAAUGGGUAAAGAAGCACCGGCUAACUACGUG
rnacentral:rRNA from 1 species